rnacentral:lncRNA from 1 species
CCAGGCAGCGGGCUCGCCAAAACCAGAGUUUCUGACGAGGCAGGAAUGUCCCUGAAUGGUUUCAUCAUCAGAUCAGCAUUUUCCAGUGGUUUCCCUAGUAGUAAGCUACAUCAAGAGAUCCUACACAUUGAAGUCUUCUGUGCCCCAUGUUGGCAAGCAAGCCAAGACAGGAGUGGCGUGAGUGGGAUGGAGGUUUUGGAACCACACCUAGCUCACAGAAACUUGAAUUGGAGCCAGCUGUGGUACACGCCAAUAAAACCUGCAAUCAGUGACAGCUUUUAUCCCAAAUGUGUCCGGGCUGACUUCCCUUUCAAAAUAAUGGAGCUUGAGACUGCAAACAGAAACUUGGUAAAUAUAUUUCUCUCCACAACAAGACAGUUUUCCCCCAAGCAAAUGCCUGACGUGGAAAGUUUAAUCCAGAGGAAUAUUUUUUUCAGAAAAUUAUAA